rnacentral:rRNA from 1 species
GAUGAACGCUGGCGGCGUGCCUAAUACAUGCAAGUCGAGCGAACAGACGAGGAGCUUGCUCCUUCGACGGUAGCGGCGGACGGGCGAGUAACACGUAGGUAACCUACUUAUAAGACGGGGAUAACUACGGGAAACCGGAGACAAUAACGGAGAAUAUGACGAACCGCAUGGAUCGAUAGUGAAAGAUGGCUUUGCUAACACUUAGAGAUGGACCUGGGUCGGAUUAGCUAGUUGGUAAGGUAACGGCUUACCAAGGCGACGAUACGUAGCCGAUCUGAGAGGAUGAUCAGCCACACUGGAACUGAGACACGGUCCAGACUCCUACGGGAGGCAGCAGUGGGGAAUCUUGCGCAAUGGGCGCAAGCCUGACGCAGCCAUGCCGCGUGGGUGAUGAAGGCCUUCGGGUCGUAAAGCUCUUUUGUUGGGAAAGAACAGCCGCGUGAUUAUCUGUGCCCGUCUUGACGGUACCUAAUCAGAAAGCCCCGGCUAACUACGUG